rnacentral:rRNA from 7 species
AAAUUGAAGAGUUUGAUCAUGGCUCAGAUUGAACGCUGGCGGCAGGCCUAACACAUGCAAGUCGAACGGUAACAGGAAGCAGCUUGCUGCUUUGCUGACGAGUGGCGGACGGGUGAGUAAUGUCUGGGAAACUGCC